rnacentral:rRNA from 1 species
UACAGAGGGGUGCAAGCGUUGCUCGGAAUCAUUGGGCGUAAAGGGUAGGUAGGUGGUCUCAUUUGUCAGGGGUGAAAUCCUUGGGCUUAACUCAAGAAGUGCCCUUGAAACGGUGAGACUGGAGUCUUGGAGAGGUUCGCGGGAAUUCCCGGUGUAGCGGUGAAAUGCGUAGAGAUCGGGAGGAACACCAGAGGCGAAGGCGGCGAGCUGGACAAGUACUGACACUCAACUACGAAAGCGUGGGGAGCAA